rnacentral:tRNA from 1 species
AAAUAAGAAGCAAUAUUUGCAUUUAGUUUCGACCUAAAAAUUAGAUUUUAUAAUCCUUAUUUU